GGAGGAUCACUUGAGGUCAGGAGUUCGAGGCUGCAGUGAGCUAUGAUCACACCACUGCACUCCAGCCUGAGUGACAGAGUGAAACCCUGUCUCA
rnacentral:miRNA from 1 species